CCCGUACACAAAAAUGCACAUACUGUGAGCUCGAUGAGUAGGGCGGGACACGUGGUAUCCUGUCUGAAUAUGGGGGGACCAUCCUCCAAGGCUAAAUACUCCUGACUGACCGAUAGUGAACCAGUACCGUGAGGGAAAGGCGAAAAGAACCCCGGCGAGGGGAGUGAAAAAGAACCUGAAACCGUGUACGUACAAGCAGUGGGAGCACAGAGCAAUCUGUGUGACUGCGUACCUUUUGUAUAAUGGGUCAGCGACUUAUAUUCUGUAGCAAGGUUAACCGAAUAGGGGAGCCGAAGGGAAACCGAGUCUUAACCGGGCGUUAAGUUGCAGGGUAU
rnacentral:rRNA from 1 species